UACAGAGGUGGCAAGCGUUGUUCGGAAUUACUGGGCGUAAAGGGCUCGUAGGCGGCCAACUAAGUCCGACGUGAAAUCCCCAGGCUUAACCUGGGAACUGCGUCGGAUACUGGAUGGCUUGAAUCCGGGAGAGGGAUGCAGAAUUCCAGGUGUAGCGGUGAAAUGCGCAGAUAUCAGGAGGAACACCGGUGGCGAAGGCGGAUCUCUGGGCCGAUACUGACGCUGAGGAGCGAAAGCGUGGGGAGCGAACAGG
rnacentral:rRNA from 1 species